rnacentral:tRNA from 1 species
GAAGCGUUUCGGCACCGGUGUGUCGCUUGGUCUUCAAAACCAAUGUGUGGGAUAACACUCACAGGCAGGUUCGACUCCUGUACGCUUCCGCCA